AGCUUGCUCCCCUAUUGGCAACAACAUGCUCAUAGGUUUCCAGUAGUCUCUAGUAUGGCAAAGAGAUUUUGGUUGUCCCAGCAAGUAGUGUAUCAUCAGAGUCCACUUUUAGUACUGGAGGAAGAGUGGUUGAUGAUUAUUGGAGUUCUUUGAAGCCUUCAAAAGUUCAAGCACUAGUUUGUGCAUCUAGUUGGAUAAGGGGCUCUCAACAUGAGAAAACUGCACCUAUUCUUGUGGAGGGGGAUGAUGGUGAUAUCGAGUUUGGGGAGUUCCCUAAGGGUGUGGUGGCAAGCAAUUAGCCGAAGGAAGAUGUGCUAAUGGUGGAUGCUAGACUUUUGGUUUUGGUGGCAUGUUGCUGUCUAGUCUAGCUGACUUGCUGUGCACUUUGUGCUGUGCAUGUCCUGCACUCCUGCUAAGCUGCUAGAGUGCUAGUGCAGUAGACAGUAGUGCACUAUUGUCAUCCUUUUGGUGGUUAACUGGUUAGUGGUUAGUUGGUUGUAAAUUCUGGUGUGGUGGCUACUUUUGUAAAUUAAGCCAUGAAUUGAUGUUGUGAACUUGUGAUCAUGUGAUGCAU